UGGGGAAUAUUGCACAAUGGGGGAAACCCUGAUGCAGCGACGCCGCGUGAAGAAAGAAGUAUUUCGGUAUGUAAACUUCUAUCAGCAGGGAAGAAAAUGACGGUACCUGACUAAGAAGCCCGGCUAACUACGUGCC
rnacentral:rRNA from 1 species